UGGUUAGUUAGGGGUGAAAUCCCGGGGCUCAACCCCGGAACUGCAUUUAAUACUGCCAAGCUAGAGUCCGAGAGAGGUGAGUGGAAUUCCGAGUGUAGAGGUGAAAUUCGUAGAUAUUCGGAGGAACACCAGUGGCGAAGGCGGCUCACUGGCUCGGUACUGACGCUGAGGUGCGAAAGCGUGGGGAGCAAACAG
rnacentral:rRNA from 1 species